AUAGGUGGGAGGCUUUGAAGUGUGGACGCCAGUCUGCAUGGAGCCGACCUUGAAAUACCACCCUUUAAUGUUUGAUGUUCUAACGUGGACUCGUAAUCCGGGUUGCGGACAGUGUCUGGUGGGUAGUUUGACUGGGGCGGUCUCCUCCUAAAGAGUAACGGAGGAGCACGAAGGUUGGCUAAUCCUGGUCGGACAUCAGGAGGUUAGUGCAAUGGCAUAAGCCAGCUUGACUGCGAGCGUGACGGCGCGAGCAGGUGCGAAAGCAGGUCAUAGUGAUCCGGUGGUUCUGAAUGGAAGGGCCAUCGCUCAACGGAUAAAAGGUACUCCGGGGAUAACAGGCUGAUACCGCCCAAGAGUUCAUAUCGACGGCGGUGUUUGGCACCUCGAUGUCGGCUCAUCACAUCCUGGGGCUGAAGUAGGUCCCAAGGGUAUGGCUGUUCGCCAUUUAAAGUGGUACGCGAGCUGGGUUUAGAACGUCGUGAGACAGUUCGGUCCCUAUCUGCCGUGGGCGCUGGAGAACUGAGGGGGGCUGCUCCUAGUACGAGAGGACCGGAGUGGACGCAUCACUGGUGUUCGGGUUGUCAUGCCAAUGGCACUGCCCGGUAGCUAAAUGCGGAAGAGAUAAGUGCUGAAAGCAUCUAAGCACGAAACUUGCCCCGAGAUGAGUUCUCCCUGAGACUUAGAGUCUCCUGAAGGAACGUUGAAGACGACGACGUUGAUAGGCCGGGUGUGUAAGCGCAGCGAUGCGUUGAGCUAACCGGUACUAAUGAACCGUGAGGCUUAACCUUACA
rnacentral:rRNA from 1 species